GGCUUUGAUAACUUCUAAGUUCUCAUUUCCAUUUUCUUUCAAAUCUGUAUUCUUCGAAGCCAUUCAUUCGCCAUGUGGUCUCUUCGUCGAGCUUCCAAUUCUCUCAAGUUCCGGGGAUUGAGUGUAGUAACUUCUCGAGUUAGUUGUGCUAAAUCAGAAAUAUUUUCUAAUAAUGUUGAAGGCUAUUCUACAAUUUGCGAGUAUCCUCAAGCGCUAUCCGGCAACAGAUGCCUAUUUUACCACAAUGAAGCUAUUUGUUCAAAGUUCUAUAUGGUGAGCCAAAGUAUGUCUUCACAAGCUGGUGCAGAAAGCAGUGAAUCAGAAGAUGACUUAGAG
rnacentral:misc_RNA from 1 species